rnacentral:rRNA from 1 species
GAUGAACGCUGACGGCGUGCCUAAUACAUGCAAGUCGAGCGAACGGACGAGAAGCUUGCUUCUCUGAUGUUAGCGGCGGACGGGUGAGUAACACGUGGAUAACCUACCUAUAAGACUGGGAUAACUUCGGGAAACCGGAGCUAAUACCGGAUAAUAUUUUGAACCGCAGGGUUCAAAAGUGAAAGACGGUCUUGCUGUCACUUAUAGAUGGAUCCGCGCUGCAUUAGCUAGUUGGUAAGGUAACGGCUUACCAAGGCAACGAUGCAUAGCCGACCUGAGAGGGUGAUCGGCCACACUGGAACUGAGACACGGUCCAGACUCCUACGGGGGGCAGCAGUAGGGAAUCUUCCGCAAUGGGCGAAAGCCUGACGGAGCAACGCCGCGUGAGUGAUGAAGGUCUUCGGAUCGUAAAACUCUGUUAUUAGGGAAGAACAUAUGUGUAAGUAACUGUGCACAUCUUGACGGUACCUAAUCAGAAAGCCACGGCUAACUACGUG